rnacentral:sRNA from 12 species
AUGUACCACUCGUACACUCCGGUUCCUGUGCGCCGCCCGCACCCGCCUGACGACUGCUCGCUACGUUUUGUUAGCC